CGAGUGGCGGACGGGUGAGUAACGCGUGAGCAACCUGUCCCAGACAGGGGGAUAACACUUGGAAACAGGUGCUAAUACCGCAUAAGACCACGGUAUCACAUGGUAGUGGGGUAAAAGGAGCAAUCCGGUUUGGGGUGGGCUCGCGUCCGAUUAGAUAGUUGGUGAGGUAACGGCCCACCCAAGUCGACGGAUCGGUAGCCGACCUGAGAGGGUGAUCGGCCACAUUGGAACUGAGAGACGGUCCAAACUCCUACGGGAGGCAGCAGUGGGGAAUAUUGGGCAAUGGGCGAAAGCCUGAACCCCAGCAACGCCGCGUGAGUGAAGAAGGCCUUCGGGUUGUAAAGCUCUGUUAUAGUUGACGAAGGAAGUGACGGUAGGCUAUAAGGAAGCCCCGGCUAACUACGUGCCAGCAGCGGC
rnacentral:rRNA from 1 species